rnacentral:rRNA from 1 species
AUUGAACGCUGGCGGAAUGCUUUACACAUGCAAGUCGAACGGCAGCACGGACUUCGGUCUGGUGGCGAGUGGCGAACGGGUGAGUAAUGUAUCGGAACGUGCCCAGUCGUGGGGGAUAACGUAGUGAAAAUUACGCUAAUACCGCAUACGAUCUAUGGAUGAAAGCGGGGGAUCGCAAGACCUCGCGCGAUUGGAGCGGCCGAUAUCAGAUUAGGUAGUUGGUGGGGUAAAGGCCCACCAAGCCAACGAUCAGUAGCUGGUCUGAGAGGACGAACAGCCACACUGGAACUGAGACACGGUCCAGACUCCUACGGGAGGCAGCAGUGGGGAAUUUUGGACAAUGGGGGAAACCCUGAUCCAGCAAUGCCGCGUGAGUGAAGAAGGCCUUCGGGUUGUAAACUGCUUUUGUACAGAACGAAAAGGUUUCUACUAAUACUAGGAGCUCAUGACGGUACUGUAAGAAUAAGCACCGGCUAACUACGUGCCAGCAGCCGCAGUAA